GUAGACGUACAUUCAGUUACAGCCUACAGUGUGGUCAGUGUUCUGUUCGCUACGCCAUUUGAACGUGUUGUCAACAGUCUUUGCCGCAGUUUUAGCAUUUCGAAGGUCCAUACAAGCGACACUGUGUUUCUGCGAUCGGCCACCGUCGGAAUUUUACUUCGCUGUCUUGUAAACCAGUCGAACCGAUUUCCACAAUCAUUUGAGUUUUGAACACGAUUCAACGUCGACGUACAUUCAGUUACAGCCUACAGUGUGGUCAGUGUUCUGUUCGCUACGCCAUUUGAACGUGUUGUCAACAGUCUUUGCCGCAGUUUUAGCAUUUCGAAGGUCCAUACAAGCGACACUGUGUUUCUGCGAUCGGCCACCGUCGGAAUUUUACUUCGCUGUCUUGUAAACCAGUCGAACCGAUUUCCACAAUCAUUUGAGUUUUGAACACGAUUCAACGUCGACGUACAUUCAGUUACAGCCUACAGUGUGGUCAGUGUUCUGUUCGCUACGCCAUUUGAACGUGUUGUCAACAGUCUUUGCCGCAGUUUUAGCAUUUCGAAGGUCCAUACAAGCGACACUGUGUUUCUGCGAUCGGCCACCGUCGGAAUUUUACUUCGCUGUCUUGUAAACCAGUCGAACCGAUUUCCACAAUCAUUUGAGUUUUGAACACGAUUCAACGUCGACGUACAUUCAGUUACAGCCUACAGUGUGGUCAGUGUUCUGUUCGCUACGCCAUUUGAACGUGUUGUCAACAGUCUUUGCCGCAGUUUUAGCAUUUCGAAGGUCCAUACAAGCGACACUGUGUUUCUGCGAUCGGCCACCGUCGGAAUUUUACUUCGCUGUCUUGUAAACCAGUCGAACCGAUUUCCACAAUCAUUUGAGUUUUGAACACGAUUCAACGUCGACGUACAUUCAGUUACAGCCUACAGUGUGGUCAGUGUUCUGUUCGCUACGCCAUUUGAACGUGUUGUCAACAGUCUUUGCCGCAGUUUUAGCAUUUCGAAGGUCCAUACAAGCGACACUGUGUUUCUGCGAUCGGCCACCGUCGGAAUUUUACUUCGCUGUCUUGUAAACUAGUCGAACCGAUUUCCACAAUCAUUUAAGUUUUGAACAUGAUUCAACGUCGACGUACAUUUAGUUACAGCCUACAGUGUGGUCAGUGUUCUGUUCGCUACGCCAUUUGAACGUGUUGUCAACAGUCUUUGCCGCAGUUUUAGCAUUUCGAAGGUCCAUACAAGCGACACUGUGUUUCUGCGAUCGGCCACCGUCGGAAUUUUACUUCGCUGUCUUGUAAACCAGUCGAACCGAUUUCCACAAUCAUUUGAGUUUUGAACACGAUUCAACGUCGACGUACAUUCAGUUACAGCCUACAGUGUGGUCAGUGUUCUGUUCGCUACGCCAUUUGAACGUGUUGUCAACAGUCUUUGCCGCAGUUUUAGCAUUUCGAAGGUCCAUACAAGCGACACUGUGUUUCUGCGAUCGGCCACCGUCGGAAUUUUACUUCGCUGUCUUGUAAACUAGUCGAACCGAUUUCCACAAUCAUUUAAGUUUUGAACAUGAUUCAACGUCGACGUACAUUUAGUUACAGCCUACAGUGUGGUCAGUGUUCUGUUCGCUACGCCAUUUGAACGUGUUGUCAACAGUCUUUGCCGCAGUUUUAGCAUUUCGAAGGUCC